rnacentral:rRNA from 1 species
UACAGAGGUCUCGAGCGUUAGGCGGAAUCACUGGGCUUAAAGCGUGUGUAGGUGGAUCGUUAAGUACCUUGUGAAAUCCCACGGCUUAACCGUGGAACUGCUUGGUAUACUGGCGGUCUUGAGCCAGCUAGGGGCUACCGGAACAAAUGGUGGAGCGGUGAAAUGCGUAGAUAUCAGUCGGAACACCGGUGGCGAAGGCGGCUUCUUGGGCCUUUACUGACGCUGAUGCGCGAAAGCCAGGGGAGCGAACGGG